UGCAACAUUAAAACUGCCAGGGUGGAG
rnacentral:piRNA from 1 species